rnacentral:rRNA from 1 species
AGAGUUUGAUCCUGGCUCAGGAUGAACGCUGGCGGCAUGCCUAAUACAUGCAAGUCGAACGAGGGUCCUUCGGGACUCGAGUGGCGAACGGGUGAGUAACACGUAGGGAACCUGCCCGUGCGACCGGGAGAACUUUCGGAAACGGAAGCUGAUACCGGAUAGGGACAGAGACGGCAUCGACUCUGUGUUAAAGGAGCUGAAAGGCUCCGCGCACGGAUGGACCUGCGGUGCAUUAGCUGGUUGGUGAGGUAACGGCCCACCAAGGCGACGAUGCAUAGCCGGCCUGAGAGGGCGGACGGCCACACUGGGACUGAGACACGGCCCAGACUCCUACGGGAGGCAGCAGUAGGGAAUUUUCGUCAAUGGGCGCAAGCCUGAACGAGCAAUGCCGCGUGAACGAGGAAGGUCUUCGGAUCGUAAAGUUCUGUUGAAGGGGAAAAAGAGCGGAGAGAGGAAAUGGUCUCCGAUUGAUAUUACCCUUCGAGGAAGUCACGGCUAACUACGUGCCAGCAGCCGCGGUAAUACGUAGGUGGCGAGCGUUAUCCGGAAUGAUUGGGCGUAAAGGGUGCGUAGGCGGCCUGCUAAGUCUGGAGUGAAAGGUACCGGCUCAACCGGUACAGGCUCUGGAAACUGGCGGGCUAGAGAGCAGGAGAGGGCGGUGGAACUCCAUGUGUAGCGGUAAAAUGCGUAGAUAUAUGGAAGAACACCAGUGGCGAAGGCGGCCGCCUGGCCUGUUACUGACGCUGAGGCACGAAAGCGUGGGGAGCAAAUAGGAUUAGAUACCCUAGUAGUCCACGCCGUAAACGAUGAGGACCAAGUGUUGGGGAAGACCCAGUGCUGCAGUUAACGCAGUGAGUCCUCCGCCUGGGGAGUAUGCACGCAAGUGUGAAACUCAAAGGAAUUGACGGGGGCCCGCACAAGCGGUGGAGUAUGUGGUUUAAUUCGAAGCAACGCGAAGAACCUUACCAGGCCUUGACAUAGGGUGCGAAGCUAUGGAGACAUAGUGGAGGUAAACAUCCAUACAGGUGGUGCAUGGUUGUCGUCAGCUCGUGUCGUGAGAUGUUCAGUUAAGUCUGGCAACGAGCGCAACCCUCGUGAUGUGUUACCAAUAUCGAGUUAGGGACUCACAUCAGACUGCCGGUGAGAAACCGGAGGAAGGCGGGGAGGACGUCAAAUCAUCAUGCCCCUUAUGGCCUGGGCUACACACGUACUACAAUGGCGGCGACAGAGGGCAGCGAGCCUGCGAAGGCAAGCGAAUCCCCAAAAAGCCGUCCCAGUUCGGAUUGGAGUCUGCAACCCGACUCCAUGAAGUUGGAAUCGCUAGUAAUCGCGGAUCAGCAUGCCGCGGUGAAUACGUUCUCGGGCCUUGCACACACCGCCCGUCA